rnacentral:rRNA from 1 species
AUUGAACGCUGGCGGCAGGCCUAACACAUGCAAGUCGAGCGGUAGAGAGGUGCUUGCAUCUCUUGAGAGCGGCGGACGGGUGAGUAAUGCCUAGGAAUCUGCCUAGUGGUGGGGGGAUAACGUUCGGAAACGGACGCUAAUACCGCAUACGUCCUACGGGAGAAAGCGGGGGAUCUUCGGACCUCGCGCCAUUAGAUGAGCCUAGGUCGGAUUAGCUAGUUGGUGAGGUAAUGGCUCACCAAGGCGACGAUCCGUAACUGGUCUGAGAGGAUGAUCAGUCACACUGGAACUGAGACACGGUCCAGACUCCUACGGGAGGCAGCAGUGGGGAAUAUUGGACGAAUGGGCGGAAAAGGACCUGAUCCAGCCAUGCCGCGUGUGUGAAGAAGGU